UACGUAGGGGGCGAGCGUUGUCCGGAUUUAUUGGGCGUAAAGAGCUCGUAGGCGGUUCGAUAAGUCGGACGUGAAAUCUCCACGCUCAACGUGGAGGUGCCGUUCGAUACUGUCGUGACUCGAGUCCGGUAGGGGAGUGUGGAAUUCCCGGUGUAGCGGUGAAAUGCGCAGAGAUCGGGAGGAACACCCGUAGCGAAGGCGGCACUCUGGGCCGGUACUGACGCUGAGGAGCGAAAGCGUGGGGAGCAAACAGG
rnacentral:rRNA from 1 species